rnacentral:piRNA from 1 species
CUUACUGUAUACUUGUGUUUUUAGAGC